GAGAUGAGACAAUUUACGACCAUCGCUGGUUGCUGAGGCUCGUUAUGGUCUCACAUAAUUACUCUUCCUCUCAUAUCUUUGCUGAGAAUGAGAGAUAAAGAAGGCAAGCAUAGCUUGCAUUGGUAGGUUUUGGAGUUAACAUGACUAGAGAAAGGAAUCAUCUUGAUGAGCUUGCUUGUAAUGUAGAGAGAGGGGCUUGGGGAGCUACUGUGGUCACUGAGAGGUUGCUGUUGUUUGGCUCUUUGCUGGAGCCAGCAGCUGCAGACAGAGCGGGGUAUUAAGGAAAACAAAUGGGCCGGAGCCGAGAGGGAGAAGCCUGGACACGGCCGCAUUUGUCAGGCUCCGUAUCGGCAUGUGGCCAUCGCUCAGCAGCCCGUUAUACCUGGAAAUGGCAGGGGAGCACAGUCAGAAGCCGUGUGGAUCUGGGUGUUUCACCAACUUGCGCAAAGCGAGCAGCCAAAUUUCCUGGGCUGUAGCCACCCCUGCCCAGCAUUGCCGCUGCCCCCUGAGCCCGUCCGGCUCGUCACACCAAUGGGCUGCUCUGGGAGCAGGCGUCCUGGGAGGGUUUCCUCUGCUGCUGCCUGGGCAAACUGAGACAUCCUCUGAGCAUCUCCAUAUUCCGCAGCAUCUCCAUAUCCCGCAGCAUCCCGCAUCCCGCAGCAUCCCACGUCCCUAAGCCAGCAGGUCCCAGGCGCAGGGCCGAGGGCACAGCAGGAGCCCCGCAGGGGUGGGGGGCUGUGGAGGGUGACGGCGACGUAGCACCUACUCUAAUGGGAUCCUCUCCACAAGUAAUUAAGCCUCGGCUAAUGCUAACCGUAAUGUGAUGUAUGUAUGCCUUUAACUAAUCAUUUAUUAGCCUCGUUGAUGGUUUGUCAAUAUUAAUUCAUUUAUUUAAACAACUCCGAGCUGUAAUGAAGAUGUUUGCUUUAAGGGGGAAAAAAGAGAUGGAGCUGCCAGGAGAUUUUUUGUUGACUCGAUGGAUGUCGCUCUGCCCUGGGUGAUGAGCGGCGUCCCUGCCCUCGAAACCUGGCCCCUCACUGCCAGCGGUGUCCCCAACCUGGUGGCAGCCCCCGGAGCAUCCCGAGGGGCUGCUGUAGGGACACCCCCCCCCCCCCCCUCACAGCACCUCUGGGCUGGCUGGGAUGGGGCCACCCGAACCAGCUGAGCUCUGUGACCAGAACAACUUUGUUUCAAAGACUUUCCGUCAGUUUGACCUUAAAACGUUCCAGCCAUACUUAGACGCCUGAAGUCAGACCCAAAUGUGCUGCACGACCAGGAACAAUUGGUUUCUGCUGACUUUCGACUUGCUAAUGAUUUCAAAUUGGUUUUCAUUUCAAAUCAAAUUACUUCUAUUUAAUAUUUUUUUGAGGUGGGGGAGAGGGAAAUUGACAAGAAGCUGAAAAAAUGUAUUUUUUUGUCCAGUUUGAUAGCCCAGGUUGGGCUGGAUUUGCUCCUCCUUCUGCAGCCCUUGGUUGCCGAGGCCAGCAGGGUGCUCUCCAGGGAAGCAUCCCCAGGGCAGCUGGGUCCUGUGCCGGGGCUGUGCCAAGUGGCUCCCGCAACACGGGCUUUGGUGCUGGCCCUGGAUAUUGCAGCAGCUGCUUUCAGCUUUCCUCGUCAGCUUCUUAAUAUCAGCUAGAUCACAGUAUUAAAGUUAACUUUCUCUUAAAUAGGGUUAAUUAGCGUCCUUCAGACAAACAUAAAUUAAUCCCGGACUGCUCUGGAAGAUGCGGAAUUUCCCCUUAAUCGAUUGCCAGUCCUAGCUCCAAACAAACUCCUCUGAAAUCCAGAUCUCACUUUGGGUCUGCCAUGCAUCAUCGCCCACAGAGCUGGUGAGCUGGGGGCAUCCCCGUGGCCUUGGUGGGGUGGUCAGCCCUGCUCCAGGCACAGGGAUGUGCCUUCGGGUGCCACCACAGCCGUGGGUGCCCUUGGGUCACCAUGCAUGGGCAAGUACAACCAUGCAUGACCACCUACACCCAUGCAGGACAAUAUUUGACCGUGCCCAACUGUGCGUGACCACACAUGACUAUGUUUGACCAUGCACAACUGCUCACCACCACUCAUGACGAUGUGUGAUCAUGCACAACAAUAUUUAUCUUGUGUGACCGUAUUUACCUUGCACAACUGUGGAUGACCACACAUGGCCACUCACCACCAUGCCCAACCAUGGCUGACCACACACAACGACAUAUGACCGUGAAAUGACCACGCAAGGACCAUGUACCACCACCACACAUGACCACCCAUGCCUCUACCUUGCCCCAGGUAUUCCCCCCGCCCCAGGGCUGCAGGGACCCCUGCAGGGUU